rnacentral:rRNA from 1 species
UACGGAGGGUGCGAGCGUUAUCCGGAAUUACUGGGCGUAAAGCGUGCGUAGGCGGUUCGUUGUGUCUGUGGUGAAAGCCCCGGGCUUAACCUGGGAAUGGCCAUGGAAACUGGCGAGCUGGAGUGUGGCAGAGGGGGGUGGAAUUCCGCGUGUAGCAGUGAAAUGCGUAGAGAUGCGGAGGAACACCGAUGGCGAAGGCAGCCCCCUGGGCUAACACUGACGCUGAGGCACGAAAGCGUGGGGAGCAAACAGG